AGUCAAUUAUCUCCAAAGUACAAAGUGUUCCAAUGCCAAAAAAAGACCGUCAGCAGCGGCUGGACAGAAAGGACGCAUCCAUGUACCAAAGCCCAGUGAAUCAAGUAAGACUGAUGAGAAUGUGCAACUUUGUGGCUGGGAUCUUCUUGGUUAGGCCCACUGAGACAAAACCUAUUACAUCAAUUGUUGAAUGGUGAUUCAACACAAAUGGCCUGGGACUCAAAGAGACUUUGAAAAAAUAAAAUGGAUACAUUUAAAAGUUCACAUCACUAAAACAUGCAGAAGAUAAAACAUAUUGAAAGUGUCACCAAAGUAAAAAAGUGGAGAAGAAACGGGAGACUCAACUCAAGGUGCUCAAGAAAUGAAUGAUGUACUCUUGCACACUUCUUUUUGUCCAGUAAAGGGAGUGCAAGAAUUUCAGCUCCAGAAAUUUCUUCAGCUGAAUUUAAAAUAGCCCUGGGAGAAGACAUUUGAAAGCCUAUGCAGGCCAGAAAAUAAUUGGGCCUUUUAUCAAGAAAGCAACCCUUUAUUGAGCAUCUCCAGUUUCUUAUGUGGAUUUUAUUGGGUUCCUCAAUAUUUUUGCUUCCUUCAAAAGAGUAAAAUU